AACGAACGCUGGCGGCAUGCCUAACACAUGCAAGUCGAACGAGACCUUCGGGUCUAGUUGCGCACGGGUGCUUAACGCGUGGUAAUCUACCCUCAGGUUCGGAAUAACUCAGAGAAAUUUGAGCUAAUACCGGUUGAUGACGUAAGUCCAAAGAUUUAUCGCCUGAGGAUGGGCCCGCGUAGGAUUAGGUAGUUGGUGAGGUAAAGGCUCACCAAGCCGACGAUCCUUAGCUGGUCUGAGAGGAGGAUAAGCCACACUGGGAAUGAGACACGGCCCAGACUGCUACGCAAGGCAGCAGUGGGGAAUAUUAGACAAUGGGCGAAAGCCUGAUAAAGCCAUGCGGGGUGAGUGAUGAAGGGCUUAGGGUUGUAAAGCUCUUUUACACGGGAUGAUAAUGACAGUAACGGGAGAAUAAGCACCGGCUAACUACGUG
rnacentral:rRNA from 1 species